GCCUCUGGGGGGACACCCUCGCAGGGAAGCUCAAGGUUUUCGUCCACUGCGACAGACCACGCACCAUCUUUUCUUCUUUUCCAAAAUUUCACUGAUAUAAUAUACAAUAAUACUACUAUCUUCCGGUCGGUCGGUCCUCUCUGUGGAACGGUCGCGUCAUGCCCGCUGGACCAAGCGCGCUGAUUGGUAGAUACGAUAGAAAGUGAGAAGCAACGCGUGCGAAACAAGGACAAGCAUAGUGGAAAAUGGCUAAUGGGGUGGUUCGUAUUAUAAGAGGAAGCGAGACUGUAUAAAAUGAUAUCGCGUAAGACGAACGCAACCACGAUAUAAUUUUCAAGAGAUAUAAACUUUUUUUCGUCAAAGUAAUCCGUUGCCUUCUUGUUUUUUCUUUAUUUUAGUGAACAAGCAAAAGAGAAGAACGAGAGAAGUUUAAUGGCGUUGAUGAGACAAGGAUAGUGACCAGGGAAAGACGGUGAAUGAAGGAACGUGUGAAAGAGAUUAUCGGAUAUGUGGCACAAGUACAAUCGCCGCUAACUUCAUGGAUCGUGGUUUAGAAAUCGUUUAAGGUUACCUAGGAUCGGUUCAAUAUACGUAAUAAAUAAUAUGAAAUGAUUUUAUAUUAAGGUAGUCGAAGUAGCCGCUAUCAAAGCGGUACUUUUACUGACGCCCUUUCCAAGACAAAGAAUUUGUCCAAUAGCGAUUCGUGAUCGGUAAAGACAUACUCGUGUUGCCAACUGCAGGUCCGUCACAGUGGAGGGGAGGAAAACGACAUUGUAAGGCCCAACUGGCAAGGCAUGUUCCUUACAUUCAACCGCGUUCAGCUGUAUGUACGCGGACAGGAUCUAGCCAGCUGCGGCCUUCUUCGACCUUCCCCCCACCAGACCGGAAUCGAGCCUUCUGGCCAGCUAUACAAACCGGUACCCCAGCGUUCUAACAAGGAACAUCCGCGAAGACUCCGCCUUCGAUC